UACGUAGGGUGCAAGCGUUAUCCGGAAUCACUGGGCGUAAAGGGCGCGUAGGCGGCGUUUUAAGUCGGGGUGAAAGCCUGUGGCUCAACCACAGAAUGGCCUUCGAUACUGGGACGCUUGAGUAUGGUAGAGGUUGGUGGAACUGCGAGUGUAGAGGUGAAAUUCGUAGAUAUUCGCAAGAACACCGGUGGCGAAGGCGGCCAACUGGACCAUUACUGACGCUGAGGCGCGAAAGCGUGGGGAGCAAACAGG
rnacentral:rRNA from 1 species